rnacentral:SRP_RNA from 1 species
GUCAGGCACAGUGGUACGUGCUUGUAGUCUCAGCUACUUGGGAGGCUGAGGUGGGAGGAUCGCCUGAGCCCAGGAGCUCUGGGCUGUAGUGUGCUAUACCGAUCAGGUGUCUGCACUAAGUUCGGCAUCAAUAUGGUGACUUCCUGGGAGUGGGGGACCACCAGGUUACCUAAGGAGGGGUGAACUGGCCCAGGUCAGAAAUGGAGCAGGUCAGAACUACUGUGCUGAUCAGUAAUGGGAACGUAGUGGGGUUGGGCCUGUGAAUAGCCACUUGCACUCCAGCCUGGGCAACAUAGGGAGAACCUGUCUCU